GACGAACGCUGGCGGCGUGCUUAACACAUGCAAGUCGAACGGAAAGGCCCUGCUUUUGUGGGGUGCUCGAGUGGCGAACGGGGGAGUAACACGUGAGUAACCUGCCCUUGACUUUGGGAUAACUUCAGGAAACUGGGGCUAAUAACGGAUAGGAGCUCCUGCUGCAUGGUGGGGGUUGGAAAGUUUCGGCGGUUGGGGAUGGACUCGCGGCUUAUCAGCUUGUUGGUGGGGUAGUGGCUUACCAAGGCUUUGACGGGUAGCCGGCCUGAGAGGGUGACCGGCCACAUUGGGACUGAGAUACGGCCCAGACUCCUACGGGAGGCAGCAGUGGGGAAUAUUGCACAAUGGGCGGAAGCCUGAUGCAGCAACGCCGCGUGCGGGAUGACGGCCUUCGGGUUGUAAACCGCUUUCGCCUGUGACGAAGCGUGAGUGACGGUAAUGGGUAAAGAAGCACCGGCUAACUACGUG
rnacentral:rRNA from 1 species